GGCAACUGGUUUCUCUUCAGAUCACAUAAAUCUUUUGCCUUUUACUAAAGAUUUCCAUGGAGAAGAACAGGCACGAGUGUUGAGGAAUUUUUAUUACCUUUUUUUUUUAUUUUUU
rnacentral:snRNA from 1 species